UACGAAGGGGGCUAGCGUUGCUCGGAAUUACUGGGCGUAAAGGGCUCGUAGGCGGCCAACUAAGUCGGACGUGAAAUCCCUCAGCUUAACUGGGGAACUGCGUCCGAUACUGGAUGGCUUGGAUUCGGGAGAGGGAUGCGGAAUUCCAGGUGUAGCGGUGAAAUGCGUAGAUAUCUGGAGGAACACCGGUGGCGAAGGCGGCAUCCUGGACCGAUAUUGACGCUGAGGAGCGAAAGCCAGGGGAGCAAAGCGGG
rnacentral:rRNA from 1 species